GAUGAAGAACGUAGCGAAAUGCGAUAAGUAAUGUGAAUUGCAGAAUUCAGUGAAUCAUCGAAUCUUUGAACGCACAUUGCGCCCCCUGGUAUUCCGGGGGGCAUGCCUGUUCGAGCGUCAUUUCACCACUCAAGCCUCGCUUGGUAUUGGGCAACGCGGUCCGCCGCGUGCCUCAAAUCGACCGGCUGGGUCUUCUGUCCCCUAAGCGUUGUGGAAACUAUUCGCUAAAGGGUGUUCGGGAGGCUACGCCGUAAAACAACCCCAUUUCUAAGGUUGACCUCGGAUCAGGUAGGGAUACCCGCUGAACUUAGCAUAUCAAUAAGCGGAGGA
rnacentral:misc_RNA from 1 species